ACAAAUGAAAGAGGAUGUUCUAAAGAGGAAGUAAUAAAUGAAUAACAAUAUCUACAAUUUGUAUGAAAAAUUUAAAAAUUACAAAAAAAUCACUGUAAAUGGCAUAAAAUAAAGUUUAGGAUUGUGUUAAUAAAAUUAUAGAAAUCUGUUAGUGUUUUAAACAAAAAGAUUAUGUGCAGAUAAAUAUUUAGUCCAACUAUUUCUAGUCUGUUAACAGAAAUUUAUUGUCUUAGCUGUUAACACAAAAUUUUUGUCUACUGUAAAAAUAAAUUUCUAGUCUGCUGUUAACACAAAUUUCUUGUUUGAUGUUAACACAUAUUCUUGUCUGAUGUUAACUCAAAUUUCUAGUCUGCUGUUUACACAAAUAUGCACCAGUUCACAGCCGGUUUCUUGUUAAAAGGGGACAAAAACAUCCCCUAUAUACUUUAUACUUGUGGAAAUUAACCUAUAAUAAACAUAUCUAGGGUGUUUUAAGGCACUGUUCUGUUUUUAUUUGGUGUUCCUAUAAAAUAUUUGGAAUCAUAAGGAGAUAUUUCUAGUAAACACACAAAAGUUAAGAAAUCGUCUUAUUCACUUCAAAGGUAGUUUAACUUUGUUACAUAAAAUUGAGAAAGGAAAUGGGGAAGGUGUAAAAGAGACAACAACCCGGCCAUAGAACAGACAAUAACUGAAGGCCACCAAUGGGUCUUCAAUGCAACUGGCCCCUAAACAAAAAUGUAUACUAGGGCAGUGAUAAUGGACGUCAUAGUAAAAUUCCGAAAAAAAUACUCAAGAAACUUAAAUUAAAAAUACAGCCUAGAUAAAUAUUGGACAAAUAGUGAAAUGAAAUAUAACUAUAGAGCAAAAGCUGACACAGGAACCGGAACUGAAACAAGUCAGCAAAUAACUGAAGAUCUGAGCAUAGUGGAGUGAUCCAGCGCUCAGUUACAGACUAUGUAAGAAGACUAACAAGGCCAGAGGCUCCUGACUUGGUACAGGCACAAAAAUGAAGCGGGGUUGCAAUUAAACAUAGUGUAAUAUUAUCACAGUAGCACUGGACAUGCUAACCUUUAUACAUGCCAAGUAUUUCUUUAUUUAAAACAGUGGAAAUCAAAUCUGCACAAUUUUUUGAAAAAAGUCAAUUUAUUAAUCAGUUAAAAACAAUAUAGUGGUGUAACACCUAAACACAAAGAUUUCUUUUAGUCUGGCCUAUUCAAAUAAGUUUUUAUGUACCAGCUGUUAACCUUAUACUUGUGGUGAAUGAAUAAAUAAUUCAUUCAAAAAAAAUAUUGAUAUAUAUUUAACAUCUUGACUCUUGUAUAUAAGUUCUUACUUUUUUAUAUGGAUUUCACAUUAAAAAAGAGCACUCUCUUGUGAAAUUUGAUUUCCUUACUUGAUAUUUUUGGCCUUGUAAUCAGGAUUUAAGGGACCCUCCAAAAAUCAAUGAAAGUCAUUGAGGUCAAGAUCCAGGUAUGACCAGUAGAAAUCUUACCUCUGUCAGGUAUAUAAGAUUGGAAGCCCUAGACCCAGUUAUGACCAGUAGAACUCUCCCCUCUGUCAGGUAUAUAAGAUAAGAAGCCCUAAAUCCAGGUAUGACCAAUAAAACUUUCCUCUCUGUCAGGUAUAUAAGAUUGGAAUCCCCUAGAUUCAGGUAUCACCAGUUGAACUCUCCCCUCUGUCAGGUAUAUAAGAUUGGAAGCCCUAGACCCAGUUAUGACCAGUAGAACUCUCCCCUCUGUCAAGUACAUAAGAUAAGUAGCCCCUAAAUCCAGAUAUGACCAGUAGAACUCUACGGGUAAAUCCAGAUAUGACCAGUAGACCUCUCCCCUCUGUCAGGUAUAUAAGAUAAGAAGCCCCUAAAUCCAGAUAUGACCAGUUGAACUCUCCCCUCUGUCAGGUAUAUAAGAUUGGAAGCCCUAAAUCCAGAUAUGACCAGUAGAACUCUCCCCUCUGUCAGGUAUAUAACAUUGGAAGCCCCUAAAUCCAAGUAUGACCAGUUGAACUCUCCACUCUGUCAGGUAUAUAAGAUAAGAAGUUCAUAGAUCCAGGUAUGACCAGUAAAACUGGCAUUCGGCCAUUAUGACUGAACUAUAUUCAAGACCAAGUUUCAAGACGUACCUUUGUUAAAACUAUAUCUGCAAUUAUUUUUUGAAAGAUUGAUUUGAAUAUUGAAGCUUUAUAUAAUCUUAAUAUGUUAAAUAUUAUCAUUUGAAUGAGUUUCAGUGUCUUAAAAUAAGGUUUUUAGGUACCCUUUUAUAUUACAUUUUUUUUUUCAUAAUUCAGUAAAAAAUCUUGGAAAUUAAGCUGUUUAAAAUUUUCUGGAUCUGUGUCUCAUGGCCUUGAUAUUUGUUUUAAAUGAAUACAAUGUAGUUAGUUUGUAGCAUGUGUGGAAAUGCAUCCUUCAAAAUCAAUUAAAACAAUUUAAACACAUAGCUUUGAUCUAAGAUAAACACUGCUUGAAAAUUUUUAUCAAACACAGUCUUAUAAUAAUAUUGACUAUUACAGUUUUGAAUUUGUAGGUUACUUUGAAUUCUUGGAUAAAUGAUUGUGUAGGUUAAUUAUUAUAACAAAUGAUAGCUCUCUUGGUUAUAGCCAUGUAAUUUUUCUUAUCAGUUGAGUAAUUAUAAUAAGGCCAUUGAAAUAUAAUAUUUUGUUCUUGUGUAACAUCCAGGCUAUACCAUGUAAGCUUUUGUUUUCAAAUAUUAAAGUGUACAGGCCACAUAAAUAUAAAAUUUUGC
rnacentral:lncRNA from 1 species